rnacentral:misc_RNA from 1 species
ACGACGACGACGAAGACUAUGGCGUUUUAGACGAGCGUUCUUUGAUGGGUGAGCCGAACGAGGGCUCUAGGAGCGUAAACUGUUCCUUGCCCCAUCGGCUUGUGGCUCGGUGCCUCUUGGGGCUGAGGCGGGCCAGGGUGAAGAGAAUCCAGGGGGAAGAUGUGAAGAAAGAGAAACAAAGCAAGAUGGAUGAAGAUGAGAAAGGAUUAUGUGAUCCAACGGCGCAGGCUAAAUGUUCGAUGAAUGGAUUCAACGGUGGGAAGUCGGUGUCGGCGACUGGAGAGAGUAGGAAAGAUACCUCUUUCAAUUUGGGAGUUGGGUGUUACCUUUUAUAUCUAAUUGCAGCAAGUAAAAACGAGCUUCAUAAGAUGAUGGAGGCGAGGUUGCAAAUGGAAACCCUUCUCCAGAAUACCAGAGAGGAAUUGCUGAAGAAAAGCAAUCUCUCUAAGUUGUCUAAACCCAACGAUAUGUUUGCCUAUUCCGCCAUUGAUUCUCCACAAGGUCCAUAUUUUGAAAAUCAAUUUCUACUGGAGUCCUCAAUAGUUUCAGUGGAUGAUCAGUCUUUAAGGUACGAAACACCUGAAAAAGAAGAGUGUUUAGAAGAAGGAAUGGGUAUGGGUCGGCUCGAGGCAGAACUCCAAGCUGAGCUAGAACGUUUGCAACUUCACUUGGAUAGGGAGGGGUUGCUGAAACAUUCAGAGCAAUUAAGGAUAGAGGUGACUGAUGAACACACUGCCUGCUCAAAAAGUCAGACCAUGAGUUCUGGAGAAGUGAUUGACCCUCAACCUCAAGAUGCAGACACAAAUUGUGGAGUUCCUCCUGAUGAACUGGAGAGAAGGUUGCAUGAAUUGCUGGAAGCAAGACAGCAAGAAGAGAUAAGAGAGCUAGAAGCAGCUUUGAAAUGUCUUCAGCACCGGCUUUAUGAGAAAGAAGUGGAGGUUUCACGGUGGAAAGACACAGCAAUGCUCAUUUCACGGCAUGCUAUGGAACCCUCACGGUUCACUUCACAGCAUGAUCCAAAAAUUAUCACUCCUCAAGGUGAAGAUCAAAUGUGUGAUAGUUUGAGAAUGAGAUGUUAAUCAGAUCACCAUAAAACUGUAAUUGGUGUUUGAUGAUGAUUGAUGAAUAUUUUUACCUCUGAAAUGUGAAUUGCACAGUAUCUGAUAUAUACUGGACAAUGGGAAAUGGAAAGCUGAUGCAAAAAUUGAUGGCAAAAAGGGAAAGCAGGAUUGCCAAUUGAAGCAGAAAACCCUCUUUGUGACUUUGUCUACUGCUGUGCAUGUACAAUUUCUGCGAAUUUCUUGGUCCUCGAUUUGAA